AGUUUCACACGUCUGAGGUAAAUGAUUGGGAUCAGGAAUGAGACGGCACAGAUGGUGAAGCAGGCUUCAGCUCCGAUCAGCCAGUACACUGUCAGGAAAGUAGAUGUAGACAGAAACCACAGCUGAGAAGUUGAAUAAGGCUACAGGGCUGAGCAGGUCUGAAGCCCCUUGAAAUCCAACCAUCAUGGAUGGAACCUAGAAAAUAGAAGACAGCAAAGGACGGCCCGUGAUUACAAGGACUGCAGCAGCAGCAGGAUUGCAGCGCCUGACAGCACCCCCCCCCCCCCCCCCCCGUUAUUACAAGCAGGACGGAAGCAGGAUCACAACACCUGACAGCAACCCCAAAUCUCCCCAA